GCACCGGUUGUUCAUGGUUUGCACACGCCACUCCGGUUCUGACGACGCUCCUCCUCAACGUUCAACGGCGAACUGGGGUUCGAUUCCCCGCCGGUGCA